GGGUGGCCUAGUGGUUAGAACAUCUGUCUUGAAUGCAGGAGGUUGCAUGUUCAAACCCUGGCAGAGUCA